CUAAUCAGGCGACUUGUGUACCUGGAUGCCUCAUUCAAAAUCUCCACUUUUCAGGCCGACCAAAGAGUCUUACUUCAGAUUUGUUUUGACUGAGCAUAAGAAGUGGCCAUGAUGAGGUUAACUACUGCGUCCUGGAUUGGUGCAUUGUGGCCCUCACUACCUUGAUUUUUGGUGACAGAAGGUACCAGGUUGAACGAGAGGCGUGAGCGGUGUUCCUUAUACAUCGAUGUAUAUGUGCAGGAGACCGGGAUUGUUGUUGGAUUUUCCCUGCAGAGAAGCGAGCUCAAGCAGCCUCCUGGCCAGUCCUCUCCUCCUCAAGCCAAGCUCCUGUCUCCUUGGAGACUAUCUCCUCAGAUCCUCUACACUGCUGCCCCUGGCUUGAACCCCCUUCUCAAAUUCUUGAGGGAUGCUGGAGCUCAUGUGGAUGUUGUCGAUCCAGAUGUGUCCUCUGGUGCCGUGCACAAAGAAACCCUCCAUCACCACCUACGACAGCCAGAAGAGCGGAGGAGGAAGACGCACAGGAUGAAGGCACGUGGGAGCAGCGGGGAGGAGGCAAAUUGAAAACGAGGACAAGCAAGAGGAGGAGGAGAAAGAUGAUGAAAACUUAAUACAGUUCCUGUGAUUUCAAAGUUGCACUCAACACUUGCAAUCUUCCUCCCUGUCUCUGCAAGCUUCUUCACUUCCAACUUACUUUUUCAUGAGAACGUUAACUGCUUGUGAUGUCUCUGACAAAUGCGCCAAACAAUCACAUACCCAACAGAGACUACGUGGCUUACUUUGGCUGCUUUUGAAGUCAAACCUGGCCUAAGGUGACAGAGAGGUUAAAACUGAAGCUUUCAUAAGCUCACAGGGGAGCGCAUCUCUCCUUUUCAACUCUGAUAAAGACAUUAAAGAUAUGUUUGUCUGUCUGGGGAGACGUAUAAUAAAGGGUCUGACCCAGAUUUAUCACAGACACACUUUAAUAAAGCUCGCUGAUAUUGGCCACGAGCGUCUUCAGCAUUUGCACUUUUUCAAACCAGUGACGAAAAAGUGGUUUUAUUACCUGGAAGUCUUUGGGGGAGCG